rnacentral:rRNA from 1 species
UACGAAGGGGGCUAGCGUUGUUCGGAAUUACUGGGCGUAAAGCGUGCGCAGGCGGCUUCUCAAGUCAGGGGUGAAAGCCCAGAGCUCAACUCUGGAAUUGCCUUUGAGACUGAGUGGCUUGAGUACGGGAGAGGUGAGUGGAAUUCCCAGUGUAGAGGUGAAAUUCGUAGAUAUUGGGAAGAACACCGGUGGCGAAGGCGGCUAUCUGGACAGUGACUGACGCUGAGACGCGAAAGCGUGGGGAGCAAACAGG